UACGUAGGGGGCAAGCGUUGUCCGGAUUUAUUGGGCGUAAAGCGCGUGUAGGUGGCCAUGUAGGUCCGCUGUGAAAACUUGAGGCUCAACCUCAAGCUGUCGGUGGAAACCACAUGGCUAGAGUCCGGAAGAGGAGAGUGGAAUUCCAGGUGUAGCGGUGAGAUGCGCAGAUAUCAGGAAGAACACCAAUGGCGAAGGCAGCUCUCUGGGACGGUACUGACACUGAGACGCGAAAGCGUGGGGAGCGAACAGG
rnacentral:rRNA from 1 species